rnacentral:rRNA from 1 species
AGCGAACGCUGGCGGCAUGCUUAACACAUGCAAGUCGCGCGGGUGGUUUCGGCCAUCAGCGGCUGACGGGUGCGUAUCGCGUAGGAAUGUAUCCCGAGGUGGGGGACAACCCUGGGAAACUGGGGCUAAUACCGCAUGGGGCCUGUGGGUCAAAGCCUUCGGGCGCCUUGGGAGCAGCCUGCGUCCGAUUAGGUAGUUGGUGGGGUAAAGGCCUACCACGCCUGCGAUCGGUAGCUGGUCUGAGAGGACGAUCAGCCACACUGGGGCUGAGACACGGCCCAGACUCCUACGGGAGGCAGCAGUGGGGAAUAUUGGACAAUGGGCGCAAGCCUGAUCCAGCAAUGCCGGGUGGGUGAAGAAGGUCUUCGGAUUGUAAAGCCCUUUCGGCGGGGACGAUGAUGACGGUACCCGCAGAAGAAGCCCCGGCUAACUUCGUG